AAUCUGAUAUCCUGUUUAAAUAAAGGGGGCAUCAGUGGGCUAAGUUCGCUCAAGCCAAAAAGCAAAACAGAUAAAAACAAAAAAGGCGCAAAAUCCAAAAAGGCGUACAAGAAACUGAAGUUUAUUAACAUAAUAAAAAUGUAUUCGCAUCGAAAAAAAGCACACCGUCCAGCAGUCUCUUUUCGGGAGUUUAGUAAGCUAAUUAAGAACCUGCCGGACAUUGCAUUCGACGUGCAAAGCGACCAAGCUGAGGAAGGAUCAAACAAAACGCUGGACGAGUGCGCCCAGUGGUACUACGAAGCCUUCUACAAGGAUCCCAGUGUACGAAAGCGGUACAAGUUCAAGGUGCGCGCUUGUGCCAAGCUAAAGAAGGAUAAGUUGCUCAGUCUGCCAGAGGCAGAAAUAGAUGAGACGCCCGAAGAGAGUGAGCAUGAAUCGGCUGAUGGUGUUGCAGUCAAAGUGGAAAAAAUGGGAAUGUUCAGGUUUCCCGUAACCUUCGAAGACUUUGCAAAGUACGCUGACAAGGAUAUGAUAUGCAAGCUUACGACUCAGAAGGAAACAAGCACAGAAGACAUACAGCCCGAUAGCAAACAGAAACGAAGUCAGUUGCAGAAAUUCUACAACUCAUUCUACAUGUUUCCAGAAGAGCGAAAGUCCACCAAUAUAUUCCCUGAGGCACCGCCUGCUCUUUUAGUGAAGUUGCUAAGACCUGGCUAUCCCGUAGAUGAAGCAACAGGCAGCAGUUUAGCAGAGCAUAAAAAAAAGGGUCCAACAGUCCAAGAGCACGAGAGGCAUCGGGAGCCUGAAGCUCCUGAAGGUCCUGAAGCAACCAGCGACUUUCCCAUUGUGAGCUUCCAAGUAUUCGAGAAACAUCUGGCGAACCUCUACGAUAUUGUGUGGCAGCUGAAGCUCAACGAUCCCGAGUAUGUGGUCAAGGACUUUGAGGAGGGGGCCUAUUGCUAUUACUUGGCAUUUUAUCUAACGCCGGAGAUUCGUGACAGAUACAAGUACAUCCUAAAGCCGUGUACGUCGGACCUGAGUGCCCGCCUACUUGCCAUACCCAGCCGCGAGGAAGCCGAAAAGCUCAGGCGAAAUUUGCCAGAGUUGAUUAAACCAUCGCCAGAUCUGGAGCGACCCAAAAGUCCCGAUUUGGUCACAGAACCAGCAGUGGCACCUGUCGACUUUAAGUUUUUCAAAAAGUAUAUCGUGAAUCUGGAUGACAUCAGUCAGCAAAUGCGAUGCUGCGACGAGUACAAGGACUUAUCCGAAGAGGAGUGUGGCGCGGAAUACUUCAGGCAGUUUUAUAGCUCGCCAGAAAUACGCGAACGAUUCCAGUAUAAACUGAAGCCUUGUCCCGGAAUGGUACGCGGAAGAUUGCUGGGUCGACCGGCCUGCUCAGACGGGCCAUCGAAUGGAGCUGAAAAGGCAGCCGAACAGAACCGACCAGCUCCAAUAAAGGAAAGCAGUCGUCAGUCAGACCCAAACGAUAACAACAACAAUAAAAAGUUUCCAGUUACGUUCAAGGAGUUCAAGCGUAAUGUGACGAAUCUCAGCGAAAUUGUACAGAAAAUGCAGCAUAGCGAGGAGUACAGAGAGAAGUCCGAAGAGCAGUGUGCUAAGGAGUACUACCAGGGGUUCUAUUCCAUGCCCCAGAUGCGUGAACGCUUCGAAUGUAAGUUCAAGCCCUGUCCCGCCAAGAAGUGCAAGCUGCUGCUCCGCUAUGCAGUGGAACAUCCUGAACCAUCCGAAGAGCAGUCUGAAAACAUUCCGCCUAAGAAGACAAUAAAGCCGUCUUCUUUGAGCUCCGCGCGUGAUGACGUAGUAACUAUUGGCUCUGCUCGCUUCAAGUUUCCCGUGUCCUUGGGGGUAUUCAGGCGCUCUAUAAACUACGACGAAAUCGUCCGGUCCCGGCUGGGAAAAUCUACCGUCAAGCCGCAGCUCCAGGCCCAGACUGCCAACCCGCAGAACCCACAAUACGAAAGGUAUUUCCGUCAGUUUUAUGUCGGGUUCUACGCAUUCCCCUAUUUUCGCAAGCAACACGCAUAUCGAUUCAACUGUGGGGGGGACGAAGAGCUGCUGAAAAAGCUGUGCGACUAUGCAGUACCAUUGAAUGAGAGUGCCAAGCAGAAAGUGGAAGACGUGCAAAAGCGCCGACGAUCGAUUGGUAGUCGUGGAAGACCAGAAGCUGAACCUACUUUGAAGCGCAAACCAGCUCUGUUAGAGCGCUGUGGCGUCUCACCACAGAUUUCCUUUAAAGUAUUUUCCAAACUGUUGUAUCUCGAAGAUGCAGUUAGCAAAAUGCAGCUGCAUCCACACUUCGCUGCAAUGACGGAAGCAGAGUGCCAACGGCUGUACUACGAGGCCUUCUAUAGCACGCCCAGCAUACGGGACAAGUAUCCUUGUAGAAUAAAGCCCUGCCCGGCCGGCAUGAGGGCCAACCUACUGCAUAUCCCCCCCAAGCCGGAUAACCUGUCUAAUCUCAGAUACCCGCAGAGAAACGUAUCUGGCCAGCGUCCGAGCACUCUAGAUUUUGACAGAUUGUAUGCGGAUAGGAAAGCAGAGCUUGAUGGCAAACAAAAGCUUAACGUGGUCAACUACGUGCCCCACAAUCUGAGCUCCUACAUAGCUCGUCGUGUUGCAUGUCCCGAGAGAAGAGCUGUCGUUGAGAAGUACAUAGUCGAAACGGUAAGGGAUUUGAAUGAGGCAGCGGCUAUCAGUGUCUCGGGGCUGGAUACAGCUAGGAGGGAAAUCGGUGAAGAAGAGAAGACAGAGGCUACACCAGUGGCUGCAACGAUAGGCGUAGGAACUACAGCAGCGACUGGCCGUGAACCUGCAGAAUGUCCAGCAGCCUCUAUUGAAGUUGAAGGGGAAGUUGAAUCUCCAAAAGAAAACAGAGUAAGGGGCGACACUGUGCCAGAGAGUACAACAGCAAGUGUUCCAGCCAGCAGCGCGAACAAUCAGUGCUCUACUACUCUACCAGAGGUUGAAAAAACGACGAAUCCAGGGACCACUACGUCUGUAACAACAUCUAAUGAAGUGCAGACAGCAGCAUCUGAGCAAACAGCAGCAGCAGCAUGCAGCUCCGCAGAAACAGUGCAUUCUGAGGCAUCUGCAGUCACUUUGAGCCACCUUAUUGAACAACUUGAACAAACAGUGGAAAUCUUUGCUGCGCCGAGCUACCAGGAGCACACUAUCAAGCAUUUAAUCUUCCAAAGCACCGGCCUAAGGAGAACGAUUUGGCGCAUACUCUUCCAGCUGAGCCAAGAGGAGUUCCGCACCUACACAAGCAUCCACAAUGGCGAGGCUCUCUAUGAAAACGAAGGCAUGCUGCAGCGAUGUCAUCAGCAGGUUGUGGACCAAGGCUAUUGGCCACUUAAUUUGUAUGUGAAGCUGCCCAUGUUGCGCCGACUAUUGCACAGCAAAGGAGUGGAAAUGCAGUCGCUGGAUCUGCUGCAGCUGUCGCCAAAGAUCUUGCAUUGGAGCGAUCUAAUGCUGCUCACCGAUUUCGAUGAAAUUGUUGAGCAGCAUUACGCGGAUCGCACCGGCAAGCAGAUCGACGAUGCGGAAUUGCUGUUCCAGGAACGUGAGCAGUUUUAUGCGAGCUGCUGGACGCAUGAUCAAUGGAUACGCCAAGUGCCGAAGAUCACGAAUGAAGCAUUAAAUGAGCCAAUCUUUGGUGAUGAUUCUGCUGUUGCAGGUGCAGUAUUAAAGCUACUCUAUCGAGUGGAGGAAAGCCAGGCCUCGGCGAUAACUAUUGAGUCAGACAACGCCACACCCACACAAUCUGAAGUAUACAUUUGCCCACCCACUGAGCUCAACGCUCAAUCUACCAACUUUGUGGAUAUGGACGAAGUGGUUCCGGCUUCACAAAUGCCAGACACAGAGAAUGAUCCGCUUAGGGAGAGCAUGCAGGUUCCGGUCAAGCAGGAGGCAAUUAAGUUCCUCGACAAGUUGCGCGGCAGCUGUAUCAACAGCCAAGACUUCCUGUGGGAGAGCAUUGAUUCAAACGAACAAAUUAUUAACUUGGAUGACAGUCAGGAGUCACUUUCGGGCCUAGCUUGCUUUGCCAUCCGCAAAGCGACAGAAAUUGCGCCAUCGAAUGCAAAUGCAUUUCCACAGUUUCCUGAAAGUGAAAACCCUAAUAUAUCCACGGAGUCAGAAAUUAUAGAGUCUCAGCCUGAGGCAGAGCCGCAGCUGAAUGUAAUGCAGAAGGAGGCGCUGGUGCCGCCUCUAAACGAGCCCAUAAAACGCAAAGAUAAAACGUCUGCCUCAAACGAAGUGGGCAAGAAGCCGCGUCUGAGAACGAGAACGAACGAGAAGGUGCCGCAGUUGCGACACGAGUUCCGCGCCCUUCCGCUCCAAGCCGUGGUAGGCUUGGGAUCCACAGACUCUGCUCCCGGGCUAGAGGACGAGCAACCAACCACUUCCUUGCAAGUCGCUUCUGCCAAGGAAAAGGAGCCUACAAUCACCGCUUCGCAGGAUUUUGCUUUAGACAACACCCUUCUAGCAUCCUCCCAGCUGGACGCCCUAUUGGAUGCUCCAAACGUUACGCUGCGCAAGAAACCGUAAUGCCAUUACAAGUUUUUUAUUUUAUGCAUCGGUUGGCUAAGGACGAGAGGCAGGAUGAAUAUAAGGCCAUCAAAGCACUUCACGCUCUGCCGGUUGAAAAGAAGCUGCAUUGCCAGGAGUUAAGAAAUCGUGUGCCGAAAUAUGACGGUUCUGGCGCGAUCAGGGGAACCCCCUAUUUAGAUCCUCUUCAAAGGAGCUUGCUCCAGAUGCGGAGGCGGAAAAGCUCCUCGGUUGCUUGGAAUGCUAAAUCAGUCAAUGAUCAAGAGAAGACCGAUCCCAUUCAUGAAAUAGUCUGGCAGCAGUGGGGGCUACAUGAUUGCCAAGGAAGCCAUACCACAAGAAAAAAUCAUUUUCAGGGAGCAGGCCACCAUUUUCCAUGGCAUGCUAGUGGCCCAGGACAUCAGUCAGGACAAAAAAAGAUUGUGAGGAUACUAGUUAAUGUUAGGUAUGCUUGUAAAUAUGUCGAUACUACUUGUACAAUUCUCGAUUUUAUUAUUUUUUUUAUUUUUUUAGUUAAUAUUUAAUUACCCAUGAAUCGCCAUUAUCCAACGAGUUCCGAUUUCAAAUCUAACAAUUGUAUUUUUUUUUAUAUUUCUAAAUUUAUUUAAGCCAAAUAUCAGUUUAACAACCUUCAUUUAAAUACAUUUUGUAGUCAAAAAAAGCCAAAAACAGGUACAAUUUUAAUUGUGAAAUUAAAACUAAUAGUC